AAAAGAAGGGAACCAUUACAGCAAAUGUUGCCGGGACAAAGUUUGAAAUUGGCGGAGUUUCUGUCGCCCAGGCUGGAGUGCAGUGGCGCAAUCUCGGCUCACUGCAAGCUCCGUCUCCCGGGUUCACGCCAUUCUCCUGCCUCAGUUUCGCGAGUAGCUGGGACUACAGGCGCCCGCCACCACACCUGGCUAAUUUUUUGUAUUUUUAGUAGGGACGGGGUUUCACUGUGUUAGCCAGGAUGGUCUCUAUCUCCUGACCUCGUUAUCCGCCCACCUUGGACUCCCAAAGUGCUGGGAUUACAGGCGUGAGCCACCGUGCCCAGCCUACGUUCCUUCUAAACGUAACUGCCAGGAGUUCCAUUUAUCUCACUAAAGUCUUCCCAGGUAUCUUUGAGAUGCUGCAGGCAGUGUCUCUCAUAUACUCAGGAACAGUUGUGCUCCUGACAUGCUCUUCUGAAUUUGUUAUUGUUUUCUGCUUGUGAGCCAGUUCGUUUAGUAAUAGAUGAAAUGGGAUUUAUGAAAACUCCAGAUGAGGAUGAAACAAGUAAUCUUAUAUGGUGUGAUUCUGCUGUUCAGCAGGAGAAAAUUUCAGAGCUGCAAAAUUAUCAGGUAGGAAAUUAAUCAUGACCAGUUAGUGGUAUGAGGAAAGUUAUAUGGAUUCCACAUAACUUUUUUAGAUAGGUUCUUAAUAUGUUGCCUUAUUACAUUUCAGCUCUUACUCACCUGAAUAGCCUGUUUUGUUGCUAUCCAGUUGUAUUGGCUCUUUGCAUGAAGCCUGCAUCUUUUGCAGACUUAAGUUUUAACCUCUUUCUAUCUUUAGGG
rnacentral:lncRNA from 1 species